rnacentral:lncRNA from 1 species
CUUAGCACGGUACCUUUUAUGGUAACCUUUAAUCACGAGUAACUUAUAAAAUAAAGGUUACAUGCGAAAUAUGUUGAUGUUUUAAUUAAAUGUUGUUACGUAUAUAUAUAUCUAUAGGUUACAAGAGUCAAAAUUGACGGAUUUAGAGGUUAAUUCAGCGCAAAGCGCCUUGUAACCUUUAGAUUUUAACCUCUAAAGAACACUGCAGCGCAUCAGUGAGGAGACCUACAUCAUGGAUUGGACGUUUGCUGAUAAAUGUAUCCUAAUGUGUUCGUGUUCUGCAGUUAUGAUCUGGUUGUUACAAACGUAGGACUUCGGCAGUUCGGGUUGUAUUCGGUCUUAAUUUCUGUCAGCCAAGCAGUUACAUUUUUCACGAUUUAAAACCAACAAAUAAAUCUAGCACGAUCGCACUUGCAAGUUCAUCUGCGCGCUGUUCUUUGACGAACCUCCAUACUUGGCGCACAGCCUUAUUUGAAGUAUCAGCAACGAAGACUGUGUCAUCGAAUGAUGUGGCGUGCACUGCCUGCGGAAACCCAGCAGUCGAACGUGACGGAAGCCCCCUGCUCUCGCACGCAUUCUAGCCACCAUGAGACAGGCAUGGAACAUCGGUAUUUCAACACGAGAAACAAAAGCGGGCGAGUUUCUUUAGAAAAAAUGAAUAUUUUUUAACAAAUUUAAUGUACGAGGCGAGAAAGAACAGUAGAAGAAAAGCACACGAACGCGGUGGAUCUUUCAGUAAAAGGUUGUUGAAAACAUUGGAUGGUUCUAUCACAUAUCAAUAUAAUUCAACUUGUCUACUAAAAUGUCCUUGUGCAGAACCUUUCAGUUGUCUGCAUACAUUUUCUACCUUUAACCGGGUUCGUUUCAUUCCCUGCACUGCCUUGAUGCUGUCAACAAAAAAUUUUCCAUGCUUCAACCAUAACCGCUCAAGAUGAGGUUAAUAGUUAGUGUGCAAGAAGCGCGUGCCUAAGAAACCAUGCCGACACGCGGUACCAGCUAGGCAGCGUGCGUACAUAAGUAUAAACGUGCGGCGAGGGAGCUGGGGAUGCGGUACGCGCUAGGCGACCGGCGUAACUGCUUUGAAAUAAACAACCUACAUGUCGGCGAACCAUUCUGCAUUGCACUUAGGAUGUUUUCUAAUAAAACUUGUAGCAACUGAUUCCACUGCCAGCUUUCUUUGGGCAUUAUAUAUAAGCUGUGCCGAAGAUUGGCACUACAACGACCGCAAAUUUAAGCUACACCAGACACGAAACGCGCCAAACGUUCAGUGAAAUCAACAGGAUGCCGCUACACUCACAUAAAAGCGAGCGCCGUCCGCUCCGUUGUCUUUUUAGGAGACAUAGACAGAUGAAAAGAGCGUUAAAUGUGUGAAGCCGCCAACUGAGAAAUGAAAUCUUUAUCACUGUCCAAACACGAAAUGCUUCCACCAUCACACCAAUAACAUCACUGGCACCUCUGACAUUUAUUUCUGUAAUUCAUUGCUUGUUUUCAUUUUUUUUUUUCAUUUUUGCUUGUGCCUCUAAGUGCCUCUUUCUAACAUGGCGGCAGGGAGCAGGCAUCAGCCACACCGGAGCGCGGCCAUCCACGGUGCUAUCAUCUCUCCUCCUCGGUCCAAUCGAGAUAGCUCGAGUUGCACGCUGGGAAGAUUUUAAGCGGGAGCGGGAGGCUCGGAGCCGGCGGGAGUGGUUAGCGCGCUGUCGUCCUGUCGUUGUUGUCGUUCUGAGACGGCCAUUAUAUUUGACUUGUUUGGAUACCAUCCGAUCACCAUUGUGUGCUGCCACCACUUGUAGCCUGCAGUAGUUAUUACCGCUUCUACUGGGAACUUGCGCCAUCCGCUGCACCCUCAUGCCUUUGUGCAGCAGAGACCUUUUCGGUGUGUUGCGAGGUCGCUGCAACGAGCCGGGUUGUGAGUGCAAGCGAUACACCAUUCUGCGCCUGUCGGAAAGUGACAAUCUGGUGAGGUGUGACUAUUGUGACCACGUCCCGAAUGCACACGGAAAAAUAUGUGAUCUCGAAACGAAAAAUGCAGCUGAGGCAAAGGUGCAAUGCAAUGUGCCAGGCACCGUGUUCGAGGCCUCAGUGUCACAUGAAACCGUGGAAGCUUGCACAUCUAGUCUCUCCUCAGUGCAAUAUGAGAGGACUGUCCCAGGAGGUGCCUCCAUAGAAAAUGAAUCGGCCUGAAUGCCUGUGCAAGAAUCACAGCCUGGCUGCUCUAAAGACUCCGCACCGUAGUCCCAUGUGGAAGAGCCCCCACUUGACAGCCCAGUGGUUGCCAUGGACAAAGAGAUCCGCCAUACUGAAUGCGGCCAAGAGCUAAAGGUGAGCCAGUUCUAAUUUUCCUUGAUGUAGAAUGCUUGGGCUCUUUGGGGUUGAGUUGUGCUCUGCAUCUGCAGUACUGCACGUUUUUGAUAAAUUUUACUUCGUCAGUUCACAUUAUACUGUGCAUAUUUAAUGUUUGUUAGGCGAAUGUUUAUAGGCUCUAAGUGUCUUUGUAGGCUCCACUGCCCAGUGGUGAUAUCCAGAUUGCAGCUCCCCACGUCUACACAUGCAGCGAGCACACGUGUGUUUAUGCUGGCAGCAGGCAAGAAAUAAUUUGGGUCUCGGACGGCAGCCUGGAGCUAGCUGUAAUUUAUUGUAUUUUAACCUACUACAUCAAGAACCUCGAUUAUCCAUAUGCAUUUGCACCAUUCCUGGCGCUGAUGCAGAAACUUGUGCUUCCCAGCAAUGUUGUGCCUAGAGGGCUCAUAAAUGACAUAUUGAAGUGUUUCUUUGCUCUUCUGAAGAAAAAGAAUGUGAUUUGACUCAAAGUCUAGAUAACAAUUCUCACCUUGCAUUAAUGUUCACUUGUUGCCAGGAGGUGGUGAACAGAUGCAUCAUUUUGUGCAUUACAGUUGCAUGCCUUUCUAUAACUGUUUUAUUGAAAAUUACUGAGGUAAUACAUCCAUUCAUGCAAGUGGCAUUUAGUAUUGUGCACAAGUAUUUAAUUUAGCUGCUCAAAAUUCUUAAAUUCGUGCAAUGUGAAUUAUGGCGGCCUUUCUUUGUCACUGAGUUAUUCUAACUGCUAGCCUCUAGAUGAUAGAGUAAUUGUGCAGUGCUAUGCAUAGUAGUGCCCAAAUGACCUUUUUCAAUAUUUAUUUUAAAUAGGUAGUGCAUUCAAGAAGUUUGAAUACCAUCCUUGACAUUGUUAGCUAGACAGUAAAAUGUGUCUUGUAGUAAUUUUAAUAAAAAAAUGUUCAUGUUUGCAUUGUCACAAGGAUCUAAACUGAGAGUUCACUAUGCUGUAAGCAUCACCACUUCCAGCCUUUUGUCAUUUGGCCCUACAAGCCAGCACUUCGCACAUUUCCUGGUUAAGCUUUGUCUGAUGUUUGUAAGAGCAACAAGUUGUCUUUUGAUGCCAGUGGCGGUCAAUGCUAACACUAAGGAAACGUUGCUCAGGUAUAGAUGGGCUGCAUGCAUGCAUGGCCUUGUGGUCCAGUCUUCUUUUUUAGGUUCACCUAUAGCUAAUACUUUGUAUAUUUUUUGCAUCGGCUACAUUGCAUUGGUAACGUCUUUAUUGAUCUGCUCUAAUGCUGUACAUUGAUGUGUAAAGCUUUUUUUAUGUAGUGUCCAAUGUGGAUCUGAACACAAGUGUCCAGUUUUUGUUCCUGCAAUCUCAUAUACUAAUCUUUGCCUUGUUUUCUUGCUUCCUGACAGCAGCACAAGUUUUUACAUGGACAGUUAACACGAAGUUAUUGACGACAUGCAUGGCUGAAGCACGGUGAUAUGAUUUUAAAAAUUCCUGUGAUAUGAUGCAAGUGAUAGUAUUCUGUUGAAUUUUCAGAUCUAGUCAUGUGCCAGCAAGGCCUGCUGUACUUCUGGUGUAUUCUAUGUUGUAUUUUCAAAUAAAGAUGUUGCAUUCUGAAGUUAACCUU